UACAGGGGGUGCAAACGUUGCUCGGAAUCAUUGGGCGUAAAGCGCACGUAGGCGGUUCGUUAUGUCGGAUGUGAAAGCCCUUGGCUUAACCGAGGAAGUGCAUCCGAAACUGGCGAGCUAGAGUACGAAAGAGGAUCGCGGAAUUCCCGGUGUAGAGGUGAAAUUCGUAGAUAUCGGGAGGAACACCGGUGGCGAAGGCGGUUCUCUGGGCCUUACCUGACACUGAGGAGCGAAAGCGUGGGGAGCGAACAGG
rnacentral:rRNA from 1 species